rnacentral:lncRNA from 1 species
AACCUCAUCAGUCGCUUGGACGAGUUCCCGAAGAAUCUGAAAAGUUUGGAGACGCUUGAUUUAUCUUAUAACAAGAUUGAAAAGAUCAGCGAGGGUGCGUUCAAUAAUUUGGAUAAUCUGAAUGAGCUGUACCUGUACGGCAACUGGAUCUCUGCCAUCUCGCCCGACGCCUUUUCUCCGCCGAAAAAAUUGAAGCUCCUCGAUAUCAGUAGGAACAACCUUCAGAACCUGCCUUUGAAUGCCAUUGAGCCGCUGGAAUCUCAAAUCAGGAGCCUUAAAAUUGAAGAGAACCCGUUGCACUGCGGAUGCGAAACGCAGCGACUGUGGGAGUGGUUGCGAGAGCAUAAGAAGAUCUCGGAGGCGAAGAACCUGCGCUGCUCGGAGCCACCCGAGUUGAAGGGGCAAGCCCUGAUGGAGGUGAGCCCGCCGCGGCUCUGUCAGGCGCCCGCCGUCAGGAAGCUCACCGUCAACGACGUCCGUCCUAAAUCCGUCCUUAUCACCUGGACCAGCAGCCCCCACACCAAGGUCUACGGCUAUCGGGUCACCUACCAGUCCGUCCACUCUGCCGACAUCGGGAAAAUCCUGGACCAGAACACCCGCUCGUCACGGCUGACGAACCUGAAAUCCAACACGAAAUACACGAUCUGCGUGUACGGGCUCAACAGCUGGGAUUCGGAGACGGUGCUAGGCUCCAACUCCUUCUUCAAGGCGGGCAAACUGAGCUCCGGGCCGGAGUCCGAGACCGAAAGCGUGAACCAAGAGGGGAACGGGAACUGGACGGAGCUGCAGAGCAUGUGCACGGAGGCGACAACCGGGGUCGACGAAGACAACGACGUCUUGGCCAUGGACAGCAACCGCUACAAGGAGGGCUCCAUCCUCACCCGGAGACUCGGGCUCAUCAUCGGCAGUUGCAUGGGUUUCCUCGUGUUCAUCAUCCUCAUCUCCGUUCUUGGAUACUUGAAGAUCAAGAAGCAAAGGGCUACCGCCAAGAGAGAUCCACCGCUACCCCCAGAGUAUCUUUCAUACAGGCAUUUCUCCAUCCAGGGCGCUGAGCACUUACAAGCUAGUAUAUCGCAAGGCACCACUACGCUCAAUUAA